GACGAACGCUGGCGGCGUGCUUAACACAUGCAAGUCGAACGGAAAGGCCCUGCUUGCAGGGUACUCGAGUGGCGAACGGGUGAGUAACACGUGGGUGAUCUGCCCUGCACUUCGGGAUAAGCCUGGGAAACUGGGUCUAAUACCGGAUAGGAGCCAUUUUUAGUGUGAUGGUUGGAUAGUUUUUUCGGUGUAGGAUGAGCUCGCGGCCUAUCAGCUUGUUGGUGGGGUAAUGGCCUACCAAGGCGGCGACGGGUAGCCGGCCUGAGAGGGUGGACGGCCACAUUGGGACUGAGAUACGGCCCAGACUCCUACGGGAGGCAGCAGUGGGGAAUAUUGCACAAUGGGCGCAAGCCUGAUGCAGCGACGCCGCGUGGGGGAUGACGGCCUUCGGGUUGUAAACUCCUUUCGCUAGGGACGAAGCUUUUUGUGACGGUACCUAGAUAAGAAGCACCGGCUAACUACGU
rnacentral:rRNA from 1 species